UACGUAGGGGGCAAGCGUUGUUCGGAAUUACUGGGCGUAAAGGGCGCGUAGGCGGCACGGCAAGUCAGGAGUGAAAGCCCUGGGCUCAACCCGGGAACUGCUUUUUUGAAACUGCCGAGCUAGAGUGCGGAAGGGGGCAACUGGAAUUCCCAGUGUAGCGGUGAAAUGCGUAGAUAUUGGGAGGAACACCAGUGGCGAAGGCGGCUCACUGGACCGGUACUGACGCUGAGGCGCGAAAAGCGUGGGGGAGCAAACGGGG
rnacentral:rRNA from 1 species